GGAAGUAAAAGUUGUAACAAGGUCUCCGUUGGUGAGCCAGCGGAGGGAUCAUUACAGAGUUGCAAAACUCCCAAACCAUUGUGAACGUUACCUAUCCCGUUGCUUCGGCGGGCGGCCCGGGCCCCGCGCCCGGCGCCCCCCGGCCCCCCGUGGGCGCCCGCCGGAGGUAAACCAAACCCUUGAAUUGCAUGGCCUCUCUGAGUCUUCUGUACUGAAUAAGUCAAAACUUUCAACAACGGAUCUCUUGGUUCUG
rnacentral:misc_RNA from 1 species